AGAGAGAGGAGAGAGUGGAGACAGAGGAGAGAGAGGAGAGAGGAAUGAGUGGAGAGAGAUGAGAGAGUGGAGACAGAGGAGAGAGUGGAGACAGAGGAGAGAGGAAUAAGUGGAGAGAGAGGAGAGAGUGGAGACAGAGGAGAGAGAGGAGAGAGGAAUGAGUGGAGAGAGAGGAGAGAGUGGAGACAGAGGAGAGAGAGGAGAGAGGAAUACGUGGAGAGAGAGAGGAGACAGAGGAGAGAGAGGAGAGAGGAAUGAGUGGAGAGAGAGGAGAGAGUGGAGAGAGGAAUAAGUGGAGAGAGAGGAGAGAGUGGAGACAGAGGAGAGAGAGGAGAGAGGAAUGAGUGGAGAGAGAGGAGAGAGUGGAGACAGAGGAGAGAGAGGAGAGAGGAAUACGUGGGAGAGAGAGGAGACAGAGGAGAGAGAGGAGAGAGGAAUGAGUGGAGAGAGAGGAGACAGAGGAGAGAGAGGAGAGAGAGGAGAGAUGAAUAAGUGGAGAGAGAGGAGAGAGGAAUAAGUGGAGAGAGAGAGGAGUAAGUGGAGAGAGAGGAGAGAGGAAUAAGUGGAGAGAGAGGAGAGAGUGGAGACAGAGGAGAGAGAGGAGAGAGGAAUGAGUGGAGAGAGAGGAGAGAGUGGAGAGAGGAAUGAGUGGAGAGAGAGGAGAGAGUGGAGACAGAGGAGAGAGUGGAGACAGAGGAGAGAGGAAUAAGUGGAGAGAGAGGAGAGAGUGGAGACAGAGGAGAGAGAGGAGAGAGGAAUGAGUGGAGAGAGAGGAGAGAGUGGAGACAGAGGAGAGAGAGAGAGAGAGGAAUACGUGGAGAGAGAGGAGAGAGAGGAGAGAGGAAUAACUGGAGAGAGAGGAGAGAGUGGAGACAGAGGAGAGAGAGAGAGAGGAAUGAGUGGAGAGAGAGGAGAGAGUGGAGACAGAGGAGAGAGAGGAGAGAGGAAUAGUGGAGAGAGAGAGGAGACAGAGGAGAGAGAGGAGAGAGGAAUGAGUGGAGAGAGAGGAGAGAGUGGAGAGAGGAAUAAGUGGAGAGAGAGGAGAGAGAGGAGAGA
ensembl:lncRNA